rnacentral:rRNA from 1 species
ACGAACGCUGGCGGCGUGCCUAAUACAUGCAAGUCGAACGGUCUUUCUAUGGAAGCUUGCUUCCACUGAGAAGAUAGUGGCGAACGGGUGAGUAACACGUGGGUAACCUGCCCAUAAGAGGGGGAUAACAUCCGGAAACGGGUGCUAAUACCGCAUAGUUUUCUUGAUUGCAUGAUUGAGAAAGGAAAGACGGCCUUUGUGCUGUCGCUUAUGGAUGGACCCGCGGCGUAUUAGUUAGUUGGUGAGGUAACGGCUCACCAAGACGAUGAUACGUAGCCGACCUGAGAGGGUGAUCGGCCACAUUGGGACUGAGACACGGCCCAAACUCCUACGGGAGGCAGCAGUAGGGAAUCUUCCGCAAUGGACGAAAGUCUGACGGAGCAACGCCGCGUGAGUGAAGAAGGUUUUCGGAAUCGUAAAACUCUGUUGUCAGAGAAGAACAAGUUGGAGAGUAACUGCUCCAGCCUUGACGGUAUCUGACCAGAAAGCCACGGCUAACUACGUGCCAGCAGCUGC